AACGCCCUUAGAGUUUGAUCCUGGCUCAGGACGAACGCUGGCGGCGCGCCUAACACAUGCAAGUCGAACGAGCGAGAGAGAGCUUGCUUUCUCGAGCGAGUGGCGAACGGGUGAGUAACGCGUGAGGAACCUGCCUCAAAGAGGGGGACAACAGUUGGAAACGACUGCUAAUACCGCAUAAGCCCACGACCCGGCAUCGGGUAGAGGGAAAAGGAGCAAUCCGCUUUGAGAUGGCCUCGCGUCCGAUUAGCUAGUUGGUGAGGUAAUGGCCCACCAAGGCGACGAUCGGUAGCCGGACUGAGAGGUUGAACGGCCACAUUGGGACUGAGACACGGCCCAGACUCCUACGGGAGGCAGCAGUGGGGAAUAUUGCACAAUGGGGGAAACCCUGAUGCAGCGACGCCGCGUGGAGGAAGAAGGUCUUCGGAUUGUAAACUCCUGUUGUUGGGGAAGAUAAUGACGGUACCCAACAAGGAAGUGACGGCUAACUACGUGCCAGCAGCCGCGGUAAAACGUAGGUCACAAGCGUUGUCCGGAAUUACUGGGUGUAAAGGGAGCGCAGGCGGGAAGACAAGUUGGAAGUGAAAUCUAUGGGCUCAACCCAUAAACUGCUUUCAAAACUGUUUUUCUUGAGUAGUGCAGAGGUAGGCGGAAUUCCCGGUGUAGCGGUGGAAUGCGUAGAUAUCGGGAGGAACACCAGUGGCGAAGGCGGCCUACUGGGCACCAACUGACGCUGAGGCUCGAAAGUGUGGGUAGCAAACAGGAUUAGAUACCCUGGUAGUCCACACCGUAAACGAUGAUUACUAGGUGUUGGAGGAUUGACCCCUUCAGUGCCGCAGUUAACACAAUAAGUAAUCCACCUGGGGAGUACGACCGCAAGGUU
rnacentral:rRNA from 1 species